UACGGAGGGUGCAAGCGUUAUCCGGACUUACUGGGUUUAAAGGGUGCGUAGGCGGGCAUGUAAGUCAGUGGUGAAAUACCGGAGCUUAACUUCGGAACUGCCAUUGAUACUAUAUGUCUUGAAUAUUGUGGAGGUAAGCGGAAUAUGUCAUGUAGCGGUGAAAUGCAUAGAUAUGACAUAGAACACCGAUUGCGGAGGCAGCUUGCUACACAAAUAUUGACGCUGAGGCACGAAAGCGUCGGGAUCAAACAGG
rnacentral:rRNA from 1 species